rnacentral:rRNA from 1 species
GAUGAACGCUGGCGGCGUGCCUAAUACAUGCAAGUCGAGCGACCGGCCGAGACGCUUGCUUCUCUAAUGUUAGCGACGGACGGGUGAGUCACGCGUAGAUAACCUCCCUAUCUGAGUCAGAUCACUUCGAGCAGGCGUAACUCAUAACGUAUCAUCUCUUGAACCGCAGGGUUCAAAAGUAAAAUACGGCCUUGCUGUCACGUAUGGCUGGCGCCGCGCUGCAUUAGCUAGUUGGUAAGGUAACGGCUUACCAAGGCAACGAUGCGUAGCCGACCUGAGAGGGUGAUCGGCCACACUGGAACUGAGACACGGUCCAGACUCCUACGGGAGGCAGCAGUGGGGAAUCUUGCGCAAUGGGCGAAAGCCUGACGGAGCAACGCCGCGUGAGUGAUGAAGGUCUUCGGAUUGUAAAACUCUGUUAGUAGGGAAGAACAUAGGUGGGAUAAAAGGUGCACAGCUUGACGGUACCUAAACAGAAAGCCACGGCUAACUACGUG